rnacentral:rRNA from 2 species
UACGGAGGGGGCUAGCGUUGUUCGGAAUUACUGGGCGUAAAGCGCACGUAGGCGGCGAUCUAAGUCAGAGGUGAAAGCCCGGGGCUCAACCCCGGAACUGCCUUUGAGACUGGAUUGCUAGAAUCAUGGAGAGGUGAGUGGAAUUCCGAGUGUAGAGGUGAAAUUCGUAGAUAUUCGGAAGAACACCAGUGGCGAAGGCGGCUCACUGGACAUGUAUUGACGCUGAGGUGCGAAAGCGUGGGGAGCAAACAGG